ACGACUCUCGGCAACGGAUAUCUCGGCUCUCGCAUCGAUGAAGAACGUAGCGAAAUGCGAUACUUGGUGUGAAUUGCAGAAUCUCGUGAACCAUCGAGUCUUUGAACGCAAGUUGCGCCCGAAGCCAUUAGGCCGAAGGCACGUCUGCCUGGGCGUCUCGC
rnacentral:rRNA from 19 species